ACAGAGUCUCGCUGUGUCGCCCAGGCUGGAGAGCAGUGGCGUGAUCUUGACUCACUGGAACCUCCACCUCCUGGACUCAAGCAAUUCUCCUGCCUCAGCCUCCUGAGUAGCUGGGAUUACAGGUGCCCACCACCACGCCCUGCUAAUUUUUGCAUUUUUAGUAGAGACGGGAUUUCACCAUGUUGGCCAGGCUGGUCUCAAACUCCUGACCUCAGGUGAUCCACCCUCCCUCGGCCUCCCAAAGUGCUGGGAUUACAGGUGUGAGCCACCAUGCCAGGCCGCAAUUAAGUAAUUUUUUAGUAAAUUUACAGAGCUGUGCAAUCAUCAACACAAUCCAGUUUUAGAACAUUUUCAUCACCUUAAGAGAUUCCUCCUGCCCAUUAGCAAUCACUUUCUGUUCCCACUCUCAGCUCCAGGCAACCACUAAUCAACUUUCUGUCUCUAUAGAUUUACCUAUUCUAGAUAUUUCAUAUAAAUAGAAUCGUACAGUAAGUAGUCUUUUGCAAGUUGGCUUUUUUCACCCAGCAUAAUUUUUUGAGGUUCAUCCAUGUCAUAGCAUGUAUCAAUUAUUUGUUCGUUUUCAUUGCUAAAUAGAAUUCUGUUGCAUACAUCCACCACAUUUUGUUUAUCUAUUUACCACUUGCUGGAUAUUUGGAUUGGUUCCAUUUUUGCUUAUUAUGAGUGCUACUAUAAAUAUUCAUGUACAAGUCUUUGUGUGGCCAUAUAUGUUCAUUUCUCUUGAAUAGAUAUCUAGGAGUGGAAUUGGUGGAUCAUAUGGUAACUCCAUGUUUAACAUUUUAUGAAACUGCCAAAUUGUUUUCUAAAGUGGCUAUUCCAUUUUACAUUCCCACCAGCAAUGUGGGUUUCAGCAAUCAGGGUUCCAGUUUCUCCAUAUUCUUGCCAAUACUUGUUAUUAAUUAAUAAUAUGGAGUCUUCGAAUCCAUGAACAUGGACUAUCUCCCCAUUUAUUUACAACUUCUUAUAUUCCCUUUAGCAAUGUUUUAUAGAUUUCAGUGUACAAAUCUCAUACCUCUUUUGUUAAUUUUAUUCCUAUGUAUUUUACCCUUUUUGAUGCUAUUGUGAAU
rnacentral:lncRNA from 1 species